AUUGAACGCUGGCGGCAGGCCUAACACAUGCAAGUCGAACGAGUGGCGGACGGGUGAGUAAUGUCUGGGAAACUGCCUGAUGGAGGGGGAUAACUACUGGAAACGGUAGCUAAUACCGCAUACCAUCAGAUGUGCCCAGAUGGGAUUAGCUAGUUGGGGGGGUAACGGCUUACAAAGGCGACGAUCGCUCGCUGGUCCGAGAGGAUGCCCAGCCACACUAGAACUGAGCCACGGUCCAGGGUCCGAAGGGAGGCAGCAGUGGGGAAUAUUGCACAAAGGGCGCAAGCCUGAUGGAGCCCUGCCGCGUGUAUAGAGACGGCCUUCGGGUUGUAAAGUACUUUCAGCGGGGAAGCGUUAGCCGCAGAAGAAGCACCGGCUAACUCCGUGCCAGCAGCCGCAGUAAUUC
rnacentral:rRNA from 1 species